rnacentral:rRNA from 1 species
GACGAACGCUGGCGGCGUGCCUAAUACAUGCAAGUCGAACGCAGUGGGGACGGGUGAGUAACACGUGGGUAACCUGCCAUCAGAGGGGAUAACAUUUGGAAAACGGUGAUAAUCCGAUACUGAUGGAUGAACCCGCGGGGGAUUAGCUAGUUGGGGAGGUAACGGCUCACCAAGGCCACGAUGCAUAGCCGACCUGAGAGGAUGAUCGGCCACACUGGGACUGAGACACGGCCCAGACUCCUACGGGAGGCAGCAGUAGGGAAUCUUCGGCAAUGGGCGAAAGUCUGACCGAGCAACGCCGCGUGAAUGAAGAAGGUUUUCGGGUCGUAAAACUCUGUUGUUAGAGAAGCGGUAUCUAACCAAAAAGCCACGGCUAACUACGUGCCAGCAGCCGCGGUAAUUC